rnacentral:rRNA from 1 species
GACGAACGCUGGCGGCGUGCUUAACACAUGCAAGUCGAACGCGCCUGUCCUCUGGGUUUCUGGGGGGUGGGUGAGUGGCGAACGGGUGAGUAACACGUGAGUAACCUGCCCCCUUCUUCGGGAUAACGGUCUGAAAGGGCUGCUAAUACCGGGUAUUCACUGGUCUCCGCAUGGGGUCUGGUGGAAAGGUUUUUUUCUGGUGGGGGAUGGGCUCGCGGCCUAUCAGCUUGUUGGUGGGGUGAUGGCCCACCAAGGCUUUGACGGGUAGCCGGCCUGAGAGGGUGACCGGUCACAUUGGGACUGAGAUACGGCCCAGACUCCUACGGGAGGCAGCAGUGGGGAAUAUUGCACAAUGGGCGCAAGCCUGAUGCAGCGACGCCGCGUGAGGGAUGGAGGCCUUCGGGUUGUGAACCUCUUUCGCCCGUGUUCAAGCCGCGACGUGGGUCGUGGUGAGGGUAGUGGGUAAAGAAGCGCCGGCUAACUACGUG